UCCCUGGUGGCUCAGUGGUAAAGAACCUGCCUGACAAGGCAGGCAACACGGGUUUGAUUUCCGGUCUGGGGAA
rnacentral:tRNA from 1 species